GCGCUUGAGGAUGAGGCUGCGAGCCAUCAGCUAGUUGGUGAGGUAAAAGCUCACCAAGGCAGCGACGGCUAGGGGACCUGAGAGGGUGACCCCCCACACUGGGACUGAGACACGGCCCAG
rnacentral:rRNA from 1 species